GAUGAACGCUGGCGGCGUGCUUAACACAUGCAAGUCGAACGGUGAAGCAGAGCUUGCUCUGUGGAUCAGUGGCGAACGGGUGAGUAACACGUGAGCAACCUGCCCCUGACUCUGGGAUAAGCGCUGGAAACGGCGUCUAAUACUGGAUAUGAGCUGCGACCGCAUGGUCAGCAGUUGGAAAGAUUUUUCGGUCUGGGAUGGGCUCACGGCCUAUCAGCUUGUUGGUGAGGUAAUGGCUCACCAAGGCGUCGACGGGUAGCCGGCCUGAGAGGGUGACCGGCCACACGGGGACUGAGACACGGCCCAGACUCCCACGGGAGGCAGCAGUGGGGAAUAUUGCACAAUGGGCGAAAGCCUGAUGCAGCAACGCCGCGUGAGGGAUGACGGCCUUCGGGUUGUAAACCUCUUUUAGCAGGGAAGAAGCGAAAGUGACGGUACCUGCAGAAAAAGCGCCGGCUAACUACGU
rnacentral:rRNA from 1 species